rnacentral:rRNA from 1 species
GCGCAGCAGUCGCGAAACUUUACAAUGUGCGAAGCACGAUAAGGGAACUCUGAGUGCCUCCUAAGGAGGCUGUUCAGGUGUCUAAAAGCACCUGAAGGAAGGGCUGGGUAAGACCGGUGCCAGCCGCCGCGGUAACACCGGCAGCCCAAGUGGUAGCCACGUUUAUUGGGUCUAAAGCGUCCGUAGCCGGCUGGGUAAGUUCCUUGGGAAAUUUGGCUGCUUAACAGUCAAGCUUUCAGGGAAUACUGCCCGGCUUGGGACCGGGAGAGGUCAGAGGUACUCCAGGGGUAGGGGUGAAAUCCAUUAAUCCUUGGGGGACCACCGGUAGCGAAGGCGUCUGACCAGACCGGGUCCGACGGUGAGGGACGAAGGCUAGGGGGCGCGAACCGGAUUAGAUACCCGGGGUAGU